rnacentral:rRNA from 1 species
GACGAACGCUGGCGGCGUGCUUAACACAUGCAAGUCGAGCGGUAAGGCUCCUUCGGGAGUACACGAGCGGCGAACGGGUGAGUAACACGUGAGCAAUCUGCCCUUCACUUUGGGAUAACUCCGGGAAACCGGUGCUAAUACCGAAUGCGACCACUUCAGGCAUCUGACGGUGGUGGAAAGUUCCGGCGGUGAAGGAUGAGCUCGCGGCCUAUCAGCUUGUUGGUGAGGUAAUGGCUCACCAAGGCUUCGACGGGUAGCCGGCCUGAGAGGGUGACCGGCCACACUGGGACUGAGACACGGCCCAGACUCCUACGGGAGGCAGCAGUGGGGAAUAUUGGACAAUGGGCGGAAGCCUGAUCCAGCAACGCCGCGUGAGGGAUGACGGCCUCGGUUGU